rfam:Aedes aegypti strain Liverpool supercont1.135 genomic scaffold, whole genome shotgun sequence.
GGCUCGAUAGCUUAGUUGGUAAAGCACUCGUCUUACAUACAAGAGUUGUGGGUUCAAAUCCCACCUCAGUCA